UGAGGAGAGGCGGAGGAAAAGGAGGAGGAGGUGGGCCGAGGCCUAUGGCGGCCGUGUGAGGCGACCACGACGACGACGUCGUGAGGCGACCACGGGGGACGGGAUGGUGCUGAGCCCGGUUACUGUGUUGUACUUUGCGCAAAGCGCUGAACUGGCGGGUGUCCGCUCGGAGACCAUUUCUGUGCCGCAAGAAAUCAAAUCUCUGCAGCUGUGGGAAGAGAUUGAGAGUCGACAUCCUCGUCUGGCUGACGUUCGAGAUCAGGUGAUUUUUGCCGUGCGUCAGGAAUACGUCCAAAUCGGGGACGAAGUCCUCCUCCUCCAGCCGGGCGACGAGAUAGCCAUUAUUCCCCCCAUUAGUGGAGGAUAAUAUCUCUGUGCUGUUUGGAUUCCUGACUGUCUGUAGAAGGUGAGAACUCUUAUCGGACAUACAUUUAUUUGGCUCCUUCUGAAACCUAACUAUCCCAGGCAUAAAGGGACCACAAGAAAUAACUUUGAAGGGAAAAAGGUGAUUAGUUUAGAAUACGAAGCCUACGUCCCAAUGGCAGAAGCUGAAAUCAG